rnacentral:pre_miRNA from 1 species
UCUUAUGGAUGAGAAAAGAAAGUGGUUUCCUGAGACGAAAUCUACUCUUGGUAAAGAUGCUGUGAA